rnacentral:rRNA from 1 species
GACGAACGCUGGCGGCGUGCUUAACACAUGCAAGUCGAACGGAAAGGCCCUGCUUGCAGGGUACUCGAGUGGCGAACGGGUGAGUAACACGUGGGUGAUCUGCCCUGCACUUCGGGUUAAGCCUGGGAAACUGGGUCUAAUACCGGAUAGGAGCCAUUUUUAGUGUGAUGGUUGGAAAGUUUUUUCGGUGUAGGAUGAGCUCGCGGCCUAUCAGCUUGUUGGUGGGGUAAUGGCCUACCAAGGCGGCGACGGGUAGCCGGCCUGAGAGGGUGGACGGCCACAUUGGGACUGAGAUACGGCCCAGACUCCUACGGGAGGCAGCAGUGGGGAAUAUUGCACAAUGGGCGCAAGCCUGAUGCAGCGACGCCGCGUGGGGGAUGACGGCCUUCGGGUUGUAAACUCCUUUCGCUAGGGACGAAGCUUUUUGUGACGGUACCUAGAUAAGAAGCACCGGCUAACUACGUG